rnacentral:lncRNA from 1 species
UGCCAAGCUCGAAUCCCAAGGUCUGCAGUGUUCCCUUUGUAAUGGAGAUCCCUCAUCUAGUGAAAGCUGCCUUAGAGGUAUGUGGAAUGUGACCAUCACAAGCUUGCUUUUAUUCUGAACAGCUGAAAAGACAACAGAAAUCUCUUACACAAAUAAGCACAUAGGUCUUCACAUGCGUAAUGAAGCUGGACCUGAAUGUGUGUGUUUAUCACGCUACUUCUUCACAUUAAUGUAUAGUUGAGCUUCACAUAUUUGUUACAGUUUGCCUUUGCACUGCUAGCAAGUUUGAACCGUAUAAAUUGCUAUGGAUUCUCUUUUGAAUGUUUAUUUCAUUAGCACACAAAUCUAAUAAGACUGAGUCAACAGGCUCAGGGCUGCUAAUCUAGCCCUGUCAGAUAUGACGUUCUACAAACAGGGUGUCUAGUUUCUUUGCACAGACGCUGGAUUUGUUGGAUACCAACAGUUCGGUUGCUUUAUACAACCUCCUAACAGCUGAAAGAAAUUGGAAACAGGCUCCCAGGCAGCUGGGUAUCCUGGAGUGGAGACCUUGAGCAUCUACCAGUAUUACAAGUGUCCAUGUAAAGUAGUUGUUAAUCAACACACAGACCUCAGUUGUAUUCCCAGGCACUGUAUUAUCAAGUUACUGUCAUAUGGGUCAAUGAAUAUUGAUUUAAAUCAGCAUUUGCAUCUGGGCAGUUUGCACAGCUCCCAGCCUGCUUGUUGACUGUUGGUUAUUCCAUUUUUACCAGCUUACCUUUCCCAUGUGCCAUAUGAACCUGGAACCUAACAGGUUGCAACAAGGCAGGAUACAUAGCAGCUGGGUAUUUCAGCACUCAAUGGUCCCGU